UGGUAGUGUAUUGGACAACCAUGGCAGUCACGGGUAACGGAGAAUUAGGGUUCGAUUCCGGAGAGGGAGCCUGAGAAACGGCUACCACAUCUACGGAAGGCAGCAGGCGCGCAAAUUGCCCAAUCCUGACACGGGGAGGCAGUGACAAGAAAUAACAACUCUAGGUUUUCUUAGAAGUGUAAUGAGGGUAACUCACAAACCUUAACGAAUGCAAUUGGAGGGCAAGUCUGGUGCCAGCAGCCGCGGUAAUUCCAGCUCCAAUAGCGUAUAUUAAAGUUGUUGCAGUUAAAAAGCUCGUAGUUGAAAUUCUGGACGUCCGGGUCUCCAGUCUUUAGGCGGGGAUACCGGCGUUCAUCCGCUUGCAAGCAUGCGUUCGCCCUUCAUCAGGCGGCUAUGUGAGUAAGCAUUUUACCUUGAGAAAAACAGAGUGUUCCAGGCAGGUUUGUCCGGGAUGCAUUAGCAUGGAAUAAUAGAACAUGACUGAAGUCAAGUUAUUGGUUGUAGACUUUAGUAAUGAUUAAUAGGAACAGUCGGGGGCAUUCGUACUCAGCAGUCAGAGGUGAAAUUCUAAGAUUUGCUGAAGACGAACUAAUGCGAAAGCAUUUGCCAAGGAUGUUUUCAUUAAUCAAGAACGAAAGUUAAGGGAUCAAAGACGAUCAGAA
rnacentral:rRNA from 1 species